rnacentral:piRNA from 1 species
UACUUCGUGAACAGUUGUUAA